rnacentral:rRNA from 1 species
UCCGUAGGAGGUUAUGCAAGUUCGACGUGAAAUCCCGGAGCUCAACUCCGGAACUGCGUUGAAAACUGCAAAACUAGAGUACUGGAGAGGUAAGCGGAAUACCAGGUGUAGCGGUGGAAUGCGUAGAUAUCUGGUAGAACACCAAAAGCGAAGGCAGCUUACUGGACAGAGACUGACUCUCAAGGACGAAAGCGUGGGGAGCAAACAGGAUUAGAUACCCCAGUA